GAUGAACGCUGGCUACAGGCUUAACACAUGCAAGUCGAGGGGAAACGACGGGGAAGCUUGCUUCCCCGGGCGUCGACCGGCGCACGGGUGAGUAACGCGUAUCCAACCUGCCUCUGACUGAGGGAUAACCCGUCGGAAGUCGGCCUAAUACCUCAUGGCAUCGUCUGCGGGCAUCCAACGACGAUUAAAGAUUUCAUCGGUCAGAGAUGGGGAUGCGUCUGAUUAGCUUGUUGGCGGGGUAACGGCCCACCAAGGCGACGAUCAGUAGGGGUUCUGAGAGGAAGGUCCCCCACAUUGGAACUGAGACACGGUCCAAACUCCUACGGGAGGCAGCAGUGAGGAAUAUUGGUCAAUGGGCGAGAGCCUGAACCAGCCAAGUAGCGUGCAGGAUGACGGCCCUAUGGGUUGUAAACUGCUUUUAUGCGGGGAUAAAGUGAGGGACGUGUCCUUCAUUGCAGGUACCGCAUGAAUAAGGACCGGCUAAUUCCGUG
rnacentral:rRNA from 1 species